CAGCUGAACCAGACGGACGCAUCUGUAGAACACGGGUGAUUGCACUUUAAAAUGGCGUUUAUUUUCAGAAGCCCUAUCAACGAUUAUGAAAACCUGGAUCGCAUCGAUCAACUGCUGACUGAACCGUUAAUUAAUGAAACAACGGGUCAGAGCAAAUCUGUCAACAAAUGUGUACUGCAAGAUAUUUCAAACGUUGACUUGUCAACGCUUGUCUCACAACCGGGGUUUGCUACACCCAAACCGAAGACAUCACUGUCACUCAGUUCACGGAGA